AACGAACGCUGGCGGCGCGCCUAAUACAUGCAAGUCGAGCGAGAAGACGUAGCAAUACGUUUGUAAAGCGGCGAACGGGUGAGGAAUACAUGGGUAACCUACCCUCGAGUGGGGAAUAACUAGCCGAAAGGUUAGCUAAUACCGCGUACGCUCCUUGGACUUCGGUUCAGGGAGGAAAGCGAUACCGUGGGUAUCGCGCUCUUGGAUGGGCUCAUGUCCUAUCAGCUUGUUGGUGAGGUAACGGCUCACCAAGGCUUCGACGGGUAGCUGGUCUGAGAGGACGAUCAGCCACACUGGCACUGCGACACGGGCCAGACUCCUACGGGAGGCAGCAGUAAGGAAUAUUGCGCAAUGGGCGAAAGCCUGACGCAGCGACGCCGCGUGGGGGAUGGAAGGUCUUCGGAUUGUAAACCCCUUUCGGGAGGGAAGAUGGAACGAGCAAUCGUUCGGACGGUACCUCC
rnacentral:rRNA from 1 species